GAUCCUGGCUCAGGAUGAACGCUGGCGGCGUGCUUAACACAUGCAAGUCGAGCGGAAGCAAUUUAAGUGAAGUUUUUCGGAUGGAUCUUAAAUUGACUGAGCGGCGGACGGGUGAGUAACGCGUGGAUAACCUGCCUCACACAGGGGGGAUAACAGUUAGAAAAUGACUGCUAAUACCGCAUAAGCGCACAGUACCGCAUGGUACAGUGUGAAAAACUCCGGUGGUGUGAGAUGGAUCCG
rnacentral:rRNA from 1 species